UACGUAGGGAGCAAGCGUUGUCCGGAUUUAUUGGGCGUAAAGCGCUUUAAGGCGGUUUGGUAAGUCGGAUGUGAAAGCUCCAGGCUCAACUUGGAGAGGCCACCCGAAACUGCCAUGACUAGAGUCCGGUAGGGGAGCACGGAAUUCCCGGUGUAGCGGUGAAAUGCACAGAUAUCGGGAGGAACACCAGUGGCGAAGGCGGUGCUCUGGGCCGGUACUGACGCUGUAGAGCGAAAGCGUGGGGAGCGAACAGG
rnacentral:rRNA from 1 species